CCCACCCAAAAAAAAAAAAAAAAAAAAAAUAGACACACACACAUACCCACCUAUGUUGAGUCUAAGACUUUCACAAUCGUUACUUCUUCAAACUCACACAUCCUAACUGGUUCAUUCUGGGAACAUAGAGGUCAACUAAUUGAUCAAGAAGACAAGACACUCACUUGCCCUGACAAGGUCAGUCUGGCUUCGUCAAGUUCCUCAUAAACAGGCCUAUUUUUUUUUUCCUGUUUACAACUUUGUUGUGGGCAAAGGCGAUGCAUCGCAAGCAAUGAGCUUCCAUAUCUUUAAUAAAUCUCCGGAACUAUAAUCUUUCUUUCACGUCGAUGGCUUUUGUUAUCCCUCUUAGAUGAAUCAUUGUGAUGAAAGUGGGAUAACAAAAGCCAUUGACGCAGAGGAAAGAAUUUAGUUCUGGAGAUCUAUUAAAGAUAGGGUAGCUAAUAGCCUGCCAUGCAUCGCCUUUGCCCACAAAAUAGUUGCAAGAAAAGAAAGUGGAUUUGUCAUGACGAGCUUGUAAAACCGAACUGGUCCUAUUAGCCCUAGUGGGUUUCAAGGAUAUGUGUUACCCACAAAAAGCCAUGUUUGUAGAAAUCAGAAGUUACCAAGCUAAUGAUGGGUUGAGAGUGGAAUAAGAAGAAGUGUGAGUUCAUAAGAGGGGAAGAAGGUGUGGUUUCAAGUUACAACACAAAUAUUCAAACGUUCAUGUAGUUUAAUUUCACCAUAUUCUGAUUGUGCUGCCCUUGUCCUCAACUUUUGUUGUUAAUUUGUUUCUCAAGAAAAUUUUCUAAAUAUUUGUAUUUCUCUCUCUCCCUUGUUUGUGUGUUUUCACUGUGUAUAUGGGUGCCAUGUGGACUUUAAUUUGUGCUCAUAUGUAAACAUUUUUGUAAAAUAACUAAGUCAGAUCAAUUGGUCACUUUUGUAUACUUUUAACCGAGAGUUCAGGUGAAAUUUAUGUCAUAAACAAAAAUUAAAUA